GAUCUUGUCUUCAUUUCUUUUUUAAGAUCUGAUGAUUUCUGAAGCAGACGGAGCAAAGUAAGCACCGAAGCAGGCGGAGCAAAGAGACGGAAUAUAUGAAUGACCUAUUUCAACACCUUGAGGAAGAGAACAACUUGGAGUGUAUGUCGGAGGUAGAUCGUUAUUUUUUGGAUGGGUGUGAAGCAACAUCAAAAGAUUUUGACAUCUUACUUUGGUGGUAGGUUAAUGCACCCAAAUAUCCUAUCCUCGCAGAGAUAGCCCGUGAUAUAUUGGCCAUUCCUAUUUCCACAGUUGCAUCCGAGUCUGCAUUCAGCAAUGGAGGACGUAUAUUAGAUCCUUUUAGGAGUUCAUUAUCUCCAAUGACAGUUGAGGCCUUGAUUUGCACUCAAGACUGGUUAAAGGGCAAUCAAGACUUGGAGUAUGAGAAGAUUAUUGAAAUCUUUGAUGAGCAUGUUAUUGAUGAUUGAGAGGAGAGCUACAAAAAGCCACAGACCAUGCUUGGAUAUGUUUAAUGUUUAUGAACUUUUGGGUUUGAACUUUUUUAAUUCUUAAUAUGUUUAAUGUUUAUGAACUUUUGAUUGCUGGUUUGUUUAAAAAAGGUAGUUGAUCUUUGUAAUUUUCAGACAUUAUGGAGACUGUUUGAUGGCUUAAUGUCUUUGUGAUAGGUUGUGCUUUAUUGUCAAGAGAGGCUUAAUGUCUACUCCUUGUAAUGUUUAUUUAUUAUUUAGAUAGCUGCUGUUUUGGAUUUUUCUUGCUUUGGUUGGUGAAGAUUUUU